GAUGAAGAACGUAGCGAAAUGCGAUAACUAAUGUGAAUUGCAGAAUUCAGUGAAUCAUCAAGUCUUUGAACGCACAUUGCGCCCCCUGGUAUUCCGGGGGGCAUGCCUGUCCGAGCGUCAUUGCUGCCCUCAAGCACGGCUUGUGUGUUGGGCUCCGUCCCCCCGGGGACGGACCCGAAAGGCAGCGGCGGCACCGAGUCCGGUCCUCGAGCGUAUGGGGCUUUGUCACCCGCUCUGUAGGCCCGGCCGGCGCCAGCCGACAACCCAUCAUCCUUUUCAGGUUGACCUCGGAUCAGGUAGGGAUACCCGCUGAACUUAAGCAUAUCAAUAAGCGGAGGA
rnacentral:misc_RNA from 1 species